UUCCAGUAUAUAACUAGUGAUUUCAUUGAAUUUAACUACAAUACAAGAGCUGUUAAUAACGUGCACAUGUUAUAUCUGCAAAAACGAAAAUCUUCAAUCUGUUCUUGACUAUGUGCGUGGUGCUGAGCUCCGCUUUCGAUGUAUAUAAAAUGCCACAUCACAUAAUAUAAUGAGCACUUAGUUCAUCCAAACGAAACGUGAAACAUACAAGCGACAAUGAAAGCCUUCAAUUUACUUCUACUGCUUUGCUUGCUGUACUGCAUUGCGGUCGCUCCAAGCUACGCUCAAAAUGAUGACGACGGAAAGGAUAUAGGUGAUAGUAUAGUAGUGGACGUCGAUGCAUUAAAUGGAGUCCUUUGAGAAAUAAACAAUUACAUUCUUACGAAUACAAUUUUUUUUAAUAAUAAACUCAAAGAAACCAUUUUAUACAACCAAUGUAAAUAUAUAAAAUGGAUGAAUGGAAAGAA